UAGCACCAUUUGAAAUCAGUGUUU
rnacentral:ncRNA from 5 species